GGUUAAGCGACUAAGCGUACACGGUGGAUGCCCUGGCAGUCAGAGGCGAUGAAGGACGUGCUAAUCUGCGAUAAGCGUCGGUAAGGUGAUAUGAACCGUUAUAACCGGCGAUUUCCGAAUGGGGAAACCCAGUGUGUUUCGACACACUAUCAUUAACUGAAUCCAUAGGUUAAUGAGGCGAACCGGGGGAACUGAAACAUCUAAGUACCCCGAGGAAAAGAAAUCAACCGAGAUUCCCCCAGUAGCGGCGAGCGAACGGGGAGCAGCCCAGAGCCUGAAUCAGUGUGUGUGUUAGUGGAAGCGUCUGGAAAGGCGCGCGAUACAGGGUGACAGCCCCGUACACAAAAAUACACAUACUGUGAGCUCGAUGAGUAGGGCGGGACACGUGGUAUCCUGUCUGAAUAUGGGGGGACCAUCCUCCAAGGCUAAAUACUCCUGACUGACCGAUAGUGAACCAGUACCGUGAGGGAAAGGCGAAAAGAACCCCGGCGAGGGGAGUGAAAAAGAACCUGAAACCGUGUACGUACAAGCAGUGGGAGCACAGAGCAAUCUGUGUGACUGCGUACCUUUUGUAUAAUGGGUCAGCGACUUAUAUUCUGUAGCAAGGUUAACCGAAUAGGGGAGCCGAAGGGAAACCGAGUCUUAACUGGGCGUUAAGUUGCAGGGUAUAGACCCGAAACCCGGUGAUCUAGCCAUGGGCAGGUUGAAGGUUGGGUAACACUAACUGGAGGACCGAACCGACUAAUGUUGAAAAAUUAGCGGAUGACUUGUGGCUGGGGGUGAAAGGCCAAUCAAACCGGGAGAUAGCUGGUUCUCCCCGAAAGCUAUUUAGGUAGCGCCUCGUGAAUUCAUCUCCGGGGGUAGAGCACUGUUUCGGCAAGGGGGUCAUCCCGACUUACCAACCCGAUGCAAACUGCGAAUACCGGAGAAUGUUAUCACGGGAGACACACGGCGGGUGCUAACGUCCGUCGUGAAGAGGGAAACAACCCAGACCGCCAGCUAAGGUCCCAAAGUCAUGGUUAAGUGGGAAACGAUGUGGGAAGGCCCAGACAGCCAGGAUGUUGGCUUAGAAGCAGCCAUCAUUUAAAGAAAGCGUAAUAGCUCACUGGUCGAGUCGGCCUGCGCGGAAGAUGUAACGGGGCUAAACCAUGCACCGAAGCUGCGGCAGCGACGCUGAUGCGUUGUUGGGUAGGGGAGCGUUCUGUAAGCCUGCGAAGGUGUGCUGUGAGGCAUGCUGGAGGUAUCAGAAGUGCGAAUGCUGACAUAAGUAACGAUAAAGCGGGUGAAAAGCCCGCUCGCCGGAAGACCAAGGGUUCCUGUCCAACGUUAAUCGGGGCAGGGUGAGUCGACCCCUAAGGCGAGGCCGAAAGGCGUAGUCGAUGGGAAACAGGUUAAUAUUCCUGUACUUGGUGUUACUGCGAAGGGGGGACGGAGAAGGCUAUGUUGGCCGGGCGACGGUUGUCCCGGUUUAAGCGUGUAGGCUGGUUUUCCAGGCAAAUCCGGAAAAUCAAGGCUGAGGCGUGAUGACGAGGCACUACGGUGCUGAAGCAACAAAUGCCCUGCUUCCAGGAAAAGCCUCUAAGCAUCAGGUAACAUCAAAUCGUACCCCAAACCGACACAGGUGGUCAGGUAGAGAAUACCAAGGCGCUUGAGAGAACUCGGGUGAAGGAACUAGGCAAAAUGGUGCCGUAACUUCGGGAGAAGGCACGCUGAUAUGUAGGUGAAGUCCCUCGCGGAUGGAGCUGAAAUCAGUCGAAGAUACCAGCUGGCUGCAACUGUUUAUUAAAAACACAGCACUGUGCAAACACGAAAGUGGACGUAUACGGUGUGACGCCUGCCCGGUGCCGGAAGGUUAAUUGAUGGGGUCAGCGCAAGCGAAGCUCUUGAUCGAAGCCCCGGUAAACGGCGGCCGUAACUAUAACGGUCCUAAGGUAGCGAAAUUCCUUGUCGGGUAAGUUCCGACCUGCACGAAUGGCGUAAUGAUGGCCAGGCUGUCUCCACCCGAGACUCAGUGAAAUUGAACUCGCUGUGAAGAUGCAGUGUACCCGCGGCAAGACGGAAAGACCCCGUGAACCUUUACUAUAGCUUGACACUGAACAUUGAGCCUUGAUGUGUAGGAUAGGUGGGAGGCUUUGAAGUGUGGACGCCAGUCUGCAUGGAGCCGACCUUGAAAUACCACCCUUUAAUGUUUGAUGUUCUAACGUUGACCCGUAAUCCGGGUUGCGGACAGUGUCUGGUGGGUAGUUUGACUGGGGCGGUCUCCUCCUAAAGAGUAACGGAGGAGCACGAAGGUUGGCUAAUCCUGGUCGGACAUCAGGAGGUUAGUGCAAUGGCAUAAGCCAGCUUGACUGCGAGUGUGACGGCGCGAGCAGGUGCGAAAGCAGGUCAUAGUGAUCCGGUGGUUCUGAAUGGAAGGGCCAUCGCUCAACGGAUAAAAGGUACUCCGGGGAUAACAGGCUGAUACCGCCCAAGAGUUCAUAUCGACGGCGGUGUUUGGCACCUCGAUGUCGGCUCAUCACAUCCUGGGGCUGAAGUAGGUCCCAAGGGUAUGGCUGUUCGCCAUUUAAAGUGGUACGCGAGCUGGGUUUAGAACGUCGUGAGACAGUUCGGUCCCUAUCUGCCGUGGGCGCUGGAGAACUGAGGGGGGCUGCUCCUAGUACGAGAGGACCGGAGUGGACGCAUCACUGGUGUUCGGGUUGUCAUGCCAAUGGCACUGCCCGGUAGCUAAAUGCGGAAGAGAUAAGUGCUGAAAGCAUCUAAGCACGAAACUUGCCCCGAGAUGAGUUCUCCCUGACUCCUUGAGAGUCCUGAAGGAACGUUGAAGACGACGACGUUGAUAGGCCGGGUGUGUAAGCGCAGCGAUGCGUUGAGCUAACCGGUACUAAUGAACCGUGAGGCUUAACCUU
rnacentral:rRNA from 1 species